rnacentral:rRNA from 1 species
GGAAUCUUAGACAAUGGGGGAAACCCUGAUCUAGCCAUGCCGCGUGAUCGAUGAAGGCCUUAGGGUUGUAAAGAUCUUUCAGAUGGGAAGAUAAUGACGGUACCAUCAGAAGAAGCCCCGGCUAACUCCGUGCCAGCAGCCGCGGUAAUACGGAGGGGGCUAGCGUUAUUCGGAAUUACUGGGCGUAAAGCGCACGUAGGCGGAUUAGAAAGUCAGAGGUGAAAUCCCAGGGCUCAACCUUGGAACUGCCUUUGAAACUCCUAGUCUUGAGGUCGAGAGAGGUGAGUGGAAUUCCGAGUGUAGAGGUGAAAUUCGUAGAUAUUCGGAGGAACACCAGUGGCGAAGGCGGCUCACUGGCUCGAUACUGACGCUGAGGUGCGAAAGCGUGGGGAGCAAACAGGAUUAGAUACCCGGG